rnacentral:sRNA from 1 species
UCCUAAACCUGAUUGACGUGGAAAGCCCACAGCGCAGCGAGGACUUGUAACAGAAAGCAGGAGUGACG